UACGAAGGGGCUAGCGUUGUUCGGAAUUACUGGGCGUAAAGCGCACGUAGGCGGAUUUGUAAGUCAGGGGUGAAAUCCCGGGACUCAACCUCGGAACUGCCUUUGAUACUGCAAGUCUUGAGUCCGGAAGAGGUGAGUGGAAUUCCUAGUGGUAGAGGUGAAAUUCGUAGAUAUUAGGAAGAACACCAGUGGCGAAGGCGGACUCACUGGUCCGGUACUGACGCUGAGGUGCGAAAGCG
rnacentral:rRNA from 1 species